AUUGAACGCUGGCGGCAGGCUUAACACAUGCAAGUCGAGCGAGCGGCGGGCGGGUGAGUAAUGUCUGGGAAACUGCCCGAUAGAGGGGGAUAACUACUGGAAACGGUAGCUAAUACCGCAUACUAUCGGAUGAACCCAUAUGGGAUUAGCUAGUAGGUGAGGUAAUGGCUCACCUAGGCGACGAUCCCUAGCUGGUCUGAGAGGAUGAUCAGCCACACUGGGACUGAGACACGGCCCAGACUCCUACGGGAGGCAGCAGUGGGGAAUAUUGCACAAUGGGCGCAAGCCUGAUGCAGCCAUGCCGCGUGUAUGAAGAAGGCCCUAGGGUUGUAAAGUACUUUUAGCAGAGAAGCGGUAUCUGCAGAAUAAGCACCGGCUAACUACGUGCCAGCAGCCGCGGUAAUUC
rnacentral:rRNA from 1 species